rnacentral:rRNA from 1 species
GUGGGGAAUAUUGGACAAUGGGCGAAAGCCUGAUCCAGCAAUGCCGCGUGAGUGAUGAAGGCCUUAGGGUUGUAAAGCUCUUUUACUGGGGAUGAUAAUGACAGUACCCAGAGAAUAAGCUCCGGCUAACUCCGUGCCAGCAGCCGCGGUAAUACGGAGGGAGCUAGCGUUGUUCGGAAUUACUGGGCGUAAAGCGCGCGUAGGCGGUUUAUCAAGUCAGAGGUGAAAUCCCGGGGCUCAACCCCGGAACUGCCUUUGAAACUAGUAAACUAGAAUCUUGGAGAGGUCAGUGGAAUUCCGAGUGUAGAGGUGAAAUUCGUAGAUAUUCGGAAGAACACCAGUGGCGAAGGCGACUGACUGGACAAGUAUUGACGCUGAGGUGCGAAAGCGUGGGGAGCAAACAGGAUUAGAAACCCCUGUAGUCC